rnacentral:rRNA from 1 species
AUCCCUUGACAUCCUGCGAACUUUCUAGAGAUAGAUUGGUGCCUUCGGGAACGCAGUGACAGGUGCUGCAUGGCUGUCGUCAGCUCGUGUCGUGAGAUGUUGGGUUAAGUCCCGCAACGAGCGCAACCCUUAUCAUUAGUUGCUAACAUUUAGUUGAGAACUCUAAUGAGACUGCCGGUGAUAAACCGGAGGAAGGUGGGGAUGACGUCAAGUCCUCAUGGCCCUUAUGUCCAGGGCUACACACGUGCUACAAUGGCCGAUACAAAGGGUUGCCAACUCGCGAGAGUGAGCCAAUCCCACAAAGUCGGUCUCAGUUCGGAUUGGAGUCUGCAACUCGACUCCAUGAAGUUGGAAUCGCUAGUAAUCGUGGAUCAGCAUGCCACGGUGAAUACGUUCCCGGGCCU